rnacentral:rRNA from 1 species
AUGUGGACUUUUGUCAAAGCACCUGUUGUCACUAGUUCUGAUGCUCCAGCUAAGUUGUUGUCAAUUGUUGCUGCUGUGCUGACCGGCAAUGAAGGUGCAGGAUUAGGGGGUUCCGAUGAUUUGGUCUCCACAAGAAUAGCGGAGAUUGCGCCGACAUUGGUAUCCAUGAGGUACGGGCUCGAAGGUAGCCCAGCAGUGUCUGAUGCUGCGGACCAAACGCAGCAUCCUAACAUGCAUGUGCCAGACACUAUCGCUGAUAAGUCUGAGCAACCUCGCUCAGUAGGUGAAGAUUGUACAACUACGGCUGCCGCAACUGUUGUGGAAAACAAGGGCCCGGUAGUCACGCAACAAGCACAUCAGGCUGGACCGCAUGAUCGCACCGCUCAUCCGCUUAUUGUUUCCAAAGCUGCUCCACUUGUAGAUGACAAGAAAACGGCAAAACAGGUAGUCGGUACCAGGAAGAGCCCUCUGAAAAGAGUUGAUUAG